CGCCAGCGUUUGAAUGGGGGUCCGUGGGUGGCGGUCCCCCCGGAGAGCUGGGUGAAGCUCCCACAUGACCCGGCCCGGCCCUGUCCACGUCUGGAUGAUUCCCCUGCAUUUCCAGUCAUUCCGACCCAGCCUCCCUCAUCUCGGCGUCACCUGCCCCGGCCCAAUUUACCGUCCAGCCACCCGGAGUCCACACACACACACACACACACACACACACACACACACUUGACAAAGGAAAACAAGGUAAAGACUGUUUUCCUCAGAGACGCUGGAUCGUUUUGGAGGAUAUUAUUUCUAUGUUUUCUCUGCCAACAUGGACUACUGCGUUUUGAAUGGAUUUCUGGUGGCUAUUUUGAUUCAGCAUUGCACAUCUGAAGGUCUGUCCACCUCAAAUCAAUCAUUGUCAGUGGUCAGCUUCAAAGAUGUUCGGGCUCCACCGCAUGAACCAGAUGUGCCUCAUGUAGAUGUGGUGCCAGUAGUGGCCCCUCCAAGCCUGAAGGAAGUGCAGCAGGUAAUGCAGGAAGCAUCGGAGCGGGUGGAGGGUCAUGCAGCAGAGGAAGUGCUGAAGGAGCUUCUAGAGAAGGUUGAGGCAGCUAUGGGCCAAGUGGAAGGAGGGGGUGAGGGAAAAGGAGAUGAGGCAGCAGUACAGAAAGCAGUCACAGAGGAUGCACUGGGGGCUGAUAAAGGAGAUUCUGACACCAAAGACGUGUUGGAGCAAGAGGCAGAGGAGGAGGUGGUGGAGGGUAAAGAUAUGGGCCCUGAGGGAGGGGAUACGGCUGCUGGAAAGGAGCAGGUGGUAGCAGAGGUGGAUGCAUUUAAAGAUAUAGCUGAGGAGGAGGAAAGAGUUGUGAAGAAGAAGAAGGGGCUGACUGCAGCUGGAUCUGUGGAGGAGACUGCAGCAGCUGGAGGAACUGGAGAUAGGGUGGAGGUCAUCAACAAGUCCCUGGACACUGGAGUGAGUCAGGAGGAAAAGGGGGCCACUUCAAAAGAGGCCGGAGGAGAUUUAACGGCCCAGGAGGCAAAGGUAGCGGACGACCAUGAGCAGGUUGGGCGUUCAAAAGCAGAGGGUCCGGCGGAAACAGGAACACUCAAGGCAGAGCCAACGCUACGGGUUGUGACGAUGGCUCUGGGUGACGAGCAGGAGAACGCGGGAGCGUCCGACCCAGGCCUGGCCGGCGCCGGAGCGGAGCAGCCGGGGGACGCGGGGGGCGAGGACGGAGCGCUGGCAGAAGAAGCCCCAGCAGAUGAAAACGAAGGCGAGAUCGAGACGUCACCUUCUGACAGCAAUGACAUGGAGGUCCCAAACACAGUAGCAGAAGAAGAGGGGGGGGAUCCUGCAACAGGCCCGAGCACGGAGGGCAAACCAGAGGGAGGUGCUGUCGAUGAGGGUGCAGACGUAUCGGUAGAAACGGGAGGAGGACGAGAUGGAGUCAGCGAAGUUAGCGAAGUUAGCGAGAGCGCGGCCGACAAAGAGGGGGAGCCACCAGCAGGAGGAGAUCACCCGGAGCCGUCACGUGGCUCUGGAACGGAGCAUCGAGGUGAGAUAUGGAGGUGUAAACAUGUGAUACUGCUCCCCUGUAACAAAGAUCAACCUAUAACUAGUCUAUAUCUGCUCUGUGUGAAACGUCAGGGUCACAAAAACAAGAAGUGCUAA
rnacentral:lncRNA from 1 species